ACUCAAAGGAAUUGACGGGGGCCCGCACAAGCGGAGGAACAUGUGGUUUAAUUCGAUGAUACGCGAGGAACCUUACCCGGGCUCGAACGGCAGAUGAGUAUAUUGGAAACAUUAUAGUUCGCAAGAACAUCUGUCGAGGUGCUGCAUGGUUGUCGUCAGCUCGUGCCGUGAGGUGUCGGCUUAAGUGCCAUAACGAGCGCAACCCUUACCGUCAGUUACCAUCAGGUAAAGCUGGGGACUCUGACGGGACUGCCACCGUAAGGUGUGAGGAAGGUGGGGAUGACGUCAAAUCAGCACGGCCCUUACGUUCGGGGCUACACACGUGUUACAAUGGGGGGUACAAAGGGUCGCUACUUAGUGAUAAGAUGCCAAUCUCCAAAACCCCUCCCAGUUCGGAUCGGAGUCUGCAACCCGACUCCGUGAAGCUGGAUUCGCUAGUAAUCGCGCAUCAGCCAUGGCGCGGUGAAUACGUUCCCGGGCCUUGUACACACCGCCCGU
rnacentral:rRNA from 1 species